AUUGGCUAGAGGUAUAGAGGGAGGGUUGAGAUCUCAUAAACAUGUUUAACCCCGCCGCAAUUUUGCGCCUGUCCCAAGUCAGGAGCCUCUGGCCUUUGUUAGUCUUGUAUGAUUUUUAAUUUUAGUUUCUUGUGUAUAAUUCGGAGUUUAGUAUGACGUCCAUUAUCACUAUACUAGUAUACACAUUUUUAAGGGGCCAGCUGAAGGACGACUACGGG
rnacentral:lncRNA from 1 species